UACGAGAGGCGCAAACGUUAUUCGGAUUUAUUGGGCGUAAAGAGCGUGUAGGCGGCCAGGUAGGUCCGCUGUGAAAACUCGAGGCUCAACCUCGAGAUGUCGGCGGAAACCAUCUGGCUAGAGUCCGGAAGAGGAGAGUGGAAUUCCUGGUGUAGCGGUGAAAUGCGCAGAUAUCAGGAAGAACACCCGUGGCGAAGGCGGCUCUCUGGGACGGUACUGACGCUGAGACGCGAAAGCGUGGGGAGCGAACAGG
rnacentral:rRNA from 1 species